AGAGUUUGAUCAUGGCUCAGAACGAACGCUGGCGGCGUGCCUAACACAUGCAAGUCGAACGGGGUUGAGGGGCUUGCUCCUCAAUUUAGUGGCGCACGGGUGAGUAACGCGUAGAUAAUCUGCCUGACGAUCCGGGAUAACACUUCGAAAGGGGUGCUAAUACCGGAUAAGCCCACGGGGACUUUGGUCUUUGCGGGAAAAGGGGGGGACCUUUUGGCCUUCUGUCGUCAGAUGAGUCUGCGUACCAUUAGCUAGUUGGUAGGGUAAAGGCCUACCAAGGCUACGAUGGUUAGCUGGUCUGAGAGGAUGAUCAGCCACACUGGAACUGAGACACGGUCCAGACUCCUACGGGAGGCAGCAGUGGGGAAUUUUGCGCAAUGGGCGAAAGCCUGACGCAGCAACGCCGCGUGAGUGAUGAAGGCUUUCGGGUCGUAAAGCUCUGUCGAGGGGAAAGAAGUGUAUUGUGGUUAAUACCCAUGAUACUUGACGGUACCCCUAAAGGAAGCACCGGCUAACUCCGUGCCAGCAGCCGCGGUAAUACGGGGGGUGCAAGCGUUGUUCGGAAUUAUUGGGCGUAAAGCGCGUGUAGGCGGUUUGAUUAGUCUGAUGUGAAAGCCCUGGGCUCAACCCAGGAAGUGCAUUGGAAACUGUCAGACUUGAAUACGGGAGAGGGUAGUGGAAUUCCUAGUGUAGGAGUGAAAUCCGUAGAUAUUAGGAGGAACACCGGUGGCGAAGGCGGCUACCUGGACCGAUAUUGACGCUGAGACGCGAAAGCGUGGGUAGCAAACAGGAUUAGAUACCCUGGUAGUCC
rnacentral:rRNA from 1 species